UAGCUCAGUGGUUAAGGGGCUCGACUUGAAAUGCAAAGGUCCUCGGUUCGA
rnacentral:tRNA from 1 species